rnacentral:pre_miRNA from 1 species
UAACCGCUUCAGGCUGGCUGGCCCUGAGGCUGGGCUGGGCUGGGCUGGGCUGGGCUGGGCUGGAUGAAUAUCUCGGGAAGGCUCACCCUCAAGCAAGACUGGAAGC